rnacentral:lncRNA from 1 species
GGGCAUCUUAUAGAUAUAGAAUGAGAUUAAAGACUAAGAGUCAAAAUCAAGAGGAUAAAGUAUGAACUAGGAAAUAUUUGAAGACUUAAUAAGAGUAAUUAGUAUUUGGUAUAGAAUAUCUUUGUAGAUAGUAAGAUACCAAAGAAUCCUAUGACUAUAGAAUACUUUUAAUAGAAGUUAGAUGCCAAAGGAUCUUAAGACCAUGUGUAUAAAAGUCAAAGAGUAGAAGUUGUCUUUUAAGGCAACAACUACUACUUAUAAGUAUUGGGUAUUAAAAGUAAGAGAUAUCU